rnacentral:rRNA from 1 species
ACUGGGCUUAAAGGGUGCGUAGGCGGAUUGGUAAGCGUCCUGGGGGUGAAAUACCACGGGGCUCAACCGUGGAAUUGCGGUGCAGAACUGUCGGUCUUGAGUUCAGAGUAGAGGUGCGUCGGAACGUUCCGAGUGUAGCGGUGAAAUUCGUAGAUAUUCGGACGGAACGCCAGAUGGCGAAGUCGGCUCGCCUGGGCCUCGAUCCUGACGCUGAGGUGCACGAAAGUGUGGGGAUCAAACAGGAUUAGAUACCCUGGUAGUCCACGCCGUAAACGAUGGAUCGCCUCGUUGUUCGGAGUGGCGUAUGCUAUUCUGUGUGACGCAAGCUAACGCGAUUAAGCAUCGACCGCCUGGGGAGUACGGUCGCAAGAUUGAAACUCAAAGGAAUUGACGGGGGCCCGCACAAGCGGUGGAUGCAUGUGGCUUAAUUCGAUGCAACGCGAAGAACCUUACCUGGGCUUGAACAUGUCUGGACAGCUUGUGAGAGAUGACUUGGUCUCCUUCGGGAGCUGGUAGUGAGGUGCUGCAUGGCUGUCGUCAGUUCGUGUCGUGAGAUGUUGGGUUAAGUCCCGCAACGAGCGCAACCCUUGCCACUAAUUGCCAUCAUUGAGUUGGGCACUUUAGUGGGACUGCCGGUGACAAACCGGAGGAAGGUGGGGAUGACGUCAAGUCCUCAUGGCCCUUAUGGGUAGGGCUUCACACGUCAUACAAUGGUCGGUACAGAGGGUUGCCAAGCCGCGAGGUGGAGCCAAUCCCAGAAAGCCGAUCGUAGUCCGGAUUGGAGUCUGCAACUCGACUCCAUGAAGUCGGAAUCGCUAGUAAUCGCGGAUCAGCAUGCCGCGGUGAAUACGUUCCCGGGUCUUGUACACACCGCCCGUCACACCAUGGGAGUGGGUUUCACCAGAAGUAGGUAGCUUAACCUUCGGGAGGGCGCUUACCACGGUGAG